AAACAAAAAAAGGCCGAGUCUACUCCUCUACUCGGCUUAGGGAAAAUGACUCUCUCAAAGAGCCGUGCGCUAAAAAUUGUCAUUGAGACGUAGAACAGCUUAACAAUCAAAGCAUAGUUGACGUACCAUGAUUUACCAAAUU
rnacentral:sRNA from 1 species